rnacentral:rRNA from 1 species
CUACGGGGGGCUCCAGCGAGGAAUAUUGCACAAUGGGGGGAACCCUGAUGCAGCAACGCCGCGUGGAGGAUGACGCAUUUCGGUGUGUAAACUCCUUUUAUAUGUCAAGAAAAUGACGGUAGCAUAUGAAUAAGCACCGGCUAACUCCGUGCCAGCAGCCGCGGUAAUACGGAGGGUGCAAGCGUUACUCGGAAUCACUGGGCGUAAAGGACGCGUAGGCGGGUUGGAAAGUCAGGUGUGAAAUCCUACAGCUUAACUGUAGAACUGCACUUGAAACUUCUAAUCUAGAGUAUGGGAGGGGGAGAUGGAAUUAGUGGUGUAGGGGUAAAAUCCGUAGAUAUCACUAGGAAUACCUAAAGCGAAGGCGAUCUCCUGGAACAUUACUGACGCUAAGGCGCGAAAGCGUGGGGAGCAAACAGGAUUAGAUACCCCCGUAGUC